rnacentral:rRNA from 1 species
UACAGAGGGUGCGAGCGUUAAUCGGAAUUACUGGGCGUAAAGCGAGUGCAGGUGGCCUAUUAAGUCACAUGUGAAAUCCCCGGGCUUAACCUGGGAACUGCAUGUGAUACUGGUAGAGCUAGAAUAUGUGAGAGGGGGGUAGAAUUCCAGGUGUAGCGGUGAAAUGCGUAGAGAUCUGGAGGAAUACCGAUGGCGAAGGCAGCCCCCUGGCAUAAUAUUGACACUCAGACUCGAAAGCGUGGGUAGCAAACAGG